rnacentral:rRNA from 1 species
AUACGGAGGAUCCGAGCGUUAUCCGGAUUUAUUGGGUUUAAAGGGUGCGCAGGCGGGAGAUUAAGUCGGCGGUGAAAUUUUGCAGCUCAACUGUAAAAGUGCCUUCGAAACUGGUUUUCUUGAGUAUGGAUGAAGGAGGCGGAAUUUGUGGUGUAGCGGUGAAAUGCAUAGAUAUCACGAGGAACUCCGAUUGCGCAGGCAGCUAAAAAAGCCAUAACUGACGCGCAAGCACGAAGGGGUGGGGAACAAACAGGAUUAGAUACCCGGGUAGUCCACGCAAUAAACGAUAAUUGCUGGCUGUUGGCGAUACAAUGUAAGCGGCGAAGCGAAAGCAUUAAGUAAUCCACCUGGGGAGUACGUUCGAAAGAAUAAAACUCAAAGGAAUUGACGGGG